AACGAACGCUGGCGGCAUGCCUAACACAUGCAAGUCGAACGAGACCUUCGGGUCUAGUGGCGCACGGGUGCGUAACGCGUGGGAACCUGCCCUUAGGUUCGGAAUAACUCCCCGAAAGGGGUGCUAAUACCGGAUCAUGUCUUCGGACCAAAGAUUUAUCGCCUUUGGAUGGGCCCGCGUUGGAUUAGGUAGUUGUUAGGGUAAAAGCCUACCAAGGCGACGAUCCAUAGCUGGUCUGAGAGGAUGAUCAGCCACACUGGGACUGAGACACGGCCCAGACUCCUACGGGAGGCAGCAGUGGGGAAUAUUGGACAAUGGGCGAAAGCCUGAUCCAGCAAUGCCGCGUGAGUGAUGAAGGCCUUAGGGUUGUAAAGCUCUUUUACCCGGGAUGAUAAUGACAGUACCGGGAGAAUAAGCUCCAGCUAACUCCGUG
rnacentral:rRNA from 1 species